rnacentral:rRNA from 1 species
AUGAGGGGGGGCCCCACCCUUGUGCUCAAGCUCGACUUCGCCAAGGCCUUCGACUGCAUGAACUGGGCGAGUCUGCAUGCAAUCAUGCUGGCGCGCGGGUGCCCCAAGCUCUGGUGCGAUUGGAUGGACGCAAUUUUCCACUCCUCGCGCUCCGCCGUGCUUCUCAACGGCGUCCCGGGAAAGUGGUUCCUCCUCCGCUGCGGGCUGCGCUAGGGGGACCCCAUCUCCUCAUACCUCUUCCUCCUCGUCGCCGACGUGCUCCAAAGGCUGAUU